rnacentral:tRNA from 1 species
UAAGGAUUAUUUUAAGUUGAAGAAUGUUUGAUUGUUGAUCAAAAGGUUGUUUUCUUAG